UGGGGAAUAUUGGACAAUGGGCGAAAGCCUGAUCCAGCCAUGCCGCGUAUGUGAAGAAGGCCUUCGGAUUGUAAAGCACUUUUAGUUGGGAGGAAGGGCAGUAAGCUAAUACCUUGACUGUUUUGACGUUACCGACAGAAUAAGCACCGGCUAACUCCGUGCCAGCAG
rnacentral:rRNA from 1 species